rnacentral:rRNA from 1 species
GAUGAACGCCGGCGGCGUGCUUAACACAUGCAAGUCGAACGAGAAGUGGAGACGGAAACCUUCGGGCGGAAGACUUUACUUCGAGUGGCGGCCGGGUGAGUAACGCGUGGGUAACCUGCCUCAUACAGGGGGAUAACAGUUGGAAACGACUGUUAAUACCGCAUCAGACCACAGCACCGCAUGGUGCGGGGGUAAAAACUCCGGUGGUAUGAGAUGGACCCGCGUUCGAUUAGCCAGUUGGCGGGGUAACGGCCCACCAAAGCGACGAUCGAUAGCCGAUCGGAGAGGAGGACCGGCCACAGUGGGAAUGAGACACGGACCAAACUCCUACGGGAGGCAGCAGUGGGGAAUAUUGCACAAUGGGGGAAACCCUGAUGAAGCGACGCCGCGUGAGUGAAGAAGUAUUUCGGUAUGUAAAGCUCUAUCAGCAGGGAAGAAAAUGACAGUACCUGAGUAAGAAGCCCCGGCUAACUACGUG